UGUUAUGGCGGCUGUGCGUGGGAGACCUUCGGGUCUGCCGGGUCUUAACUCCUCGGUCUGCGAACCCGCGCACAGCUGCCACCCAA
rfam:Pseudomonas fluorescens ABAC62 scaffold234_001, whole genome shotgun sequence.